UACGUAGGGUGCGAGCGUUGUCCGGAAUUACUGGGCGUAAAGAGCUCGUAGGCGGUUUGUCGCGUCGUCCGUGAAAACUUGGGGCUCAACCCCAAGCUUGCGGGCGAUACGGGCAGACGUUGAGUACUGCAGGGGAGACUGGAAUUCCUGGUGUAGCGGUGAAAUGCGCAGAUAUCAGGAGGAACACCGGUGGCGAAGGCGGGUCGCUGGGACGGUACUGACGCUGAGACGCGAAAGCGUGGGGAGCAAACAGG
rnacentral:rRNA from 1 species